rfam:Myotis davidii contig201273, whole genome shotgun sequence.
CUGGCGUCGGUGCUGGGAAGUGGCCCCCGGGUGGGGCCGCCGCUCCGGCCCUUCCUCGGGCCUGCGCUCCUGCUCAGGGCCCU